rnacentral:rRNA from 1 species
GACGAACGCUGGCGGCGUGCUUAACACAUGCAAGUCGAACGGAAAGGCCCUGCUUUUGUGGGGUGCUCGAGUGGCGAACGUGUGAGUAACACGUGAGUAACCUGCCCUUGACUUUGGGAUAACUUCAGGAAACUGGGGCUAAUCCCGGAUAGGAGCUCCUGCUGCAUGGUGUGGGUUGGAAAGUUUCGGCGGUUGGGGAUGUACUCGCGGCUUAUCAGCUUGUUGGUGGGGUAGUGGCUUACCAAGGCUUUGACGGGUAGCCGGCCUGAGAGGGUGACCGGCCACAUUGGGACUGAGAUACGGCCAAGACUGCUACGGGAGGCAGCAGUGGGGAAUAUUGAACAAUGGGCGGAAGCCUGAUGCAGCAACGCAGCGUGCGGGAUGACGGCAUUCGGGUUGUAAACCGCGUUGGCCUGUGACGAAGCGUGAGUGACGGUAAUGGGUAAAGAAGCACCGGCUAACUAAGUG